GACGAACGCUGGCGGUGUGCUUAACACAUGCAAGUCGAACGGUAAGGCCCUUUCGGGGGUACACGAGUGGCGAACGGGUGAGUAACACGUGAGUAACCUGCCCUCAUCUCUGGGAUAACAGUCGGAAACGGUUGCUAAUACUGGAUAUGAGCUUGCAAGGCAUCUUGUGGGUUGGAAAGAUUUUUUUGGUUGGGGAUGGACUCGCGGCCUAUCAGCUUGUUGGUGAGGGAGUGGCUCACCAAGGCUUCGACGGGUAGCCGGCCUGAGAGGGCGACCGGCCACAUUGGGACUGAGAUACGGCCCAAACUCCUACGGGAGGCAGCAGUGGGGAAUAUUGCACAAUGGACGGAAGUCUGAUGCAGCAACGCCGCGUGCGGGAUGACGGCCUUCGGGUUGUAAACCGCUUUCAAUUGUGACGAAGCUUUUUGUGACGGUAGCAGUAGAAGAAGCACCGGCUAACUACGUG
rnacentral:rRNA from 1 species